rnacentral:sRNA from 1 species
CUUUCACGUAUUUACUUUUACUUUUUACUCUCAAACCUUCUCCACUUUUUCUCUUCUCUCUUGACCUAGCAGCCGCAUCCCCUUUUCUUCUUCCUUUGUUAAGUUCUUUUUCUUCUCUGUUGUUGUGGCACUCCAUCACCGCAAAUCCCAGAAAAAUAGUGAUGCAUUGAUCUGGAAAAGCAUGAAAGAGAGGGAAAAACAGUGAAGCUGAUUUUUAGCCAUUGUCGUUGAAUGGAUUUGGA